rnacentral:rRNA from 1 species
CUGAACUUAAGCAUAUCAAUAAGCGGAGGAAAAGAAACCAACAGGGAUUGCCUUAGUAACGGCGAGUGAAGCGGCAACAGCUCAAAUUUGAAAUCUGGCGUCUUUGGCGUCCGAGUUGUAAUUUGCAGAGGAUGCUUCGGCGUUGGCGCCGCCCAAAGUUCCUUGGAACGGGACGUCGCAGAGGGUGAGAGCCCCGUGUUCGGGCGGAUGCCUUCGCCGUGUGAAGCUCCUUCGACGAGUCGAGUUGUUUGGGAAUGCAGCUCAAAACGGGAGGUAAAUUUCUUCCAAAGCUAAAUACCGGCCGGAGACCGAUAGUGCACAAGUAGAGUGAUCGAAAGAUGAAAAGCACUUUGGAAAGAGAGUCAAACAGCGCGUGAAAUUGUUAAAAGGGAAGCGCUUGCGGUCAGAACUUGGCCGCCGUUGCUCGGGGAGGUCUUGCGCCUCCCUCGCUCUUCGGCGGCUGGGCCAGCAUCGGUUCGGGCGGCUCGAGAAAGGUCGCGGGAAUGUAGCUCCCUCCGGGGAGUGUUAUAGCCCGCGGCGCAAUAGGGCCCGCCUGGACCGAGGUCUGCGCAUUUGCUCGGAUGCUGGCGUAAUGGCCCCAAGCGGCCCGUCUUGAAACACGGACCAAGG